UUUUGGGAUUGUGUCCGCCUGGAUCCUCCCUAAGGAUGGGACCAGUCCAGCCCACUGAGAAGCUGUAACCAACAGGGUCCUGGCUGUCUUAGAUCUCUCAGGACCUGCCUGCUGUCCUGGCCCAGCACAGCAGCCACUAAGGAGACACUCCAGGCCAUGCUCAGUGCCUCUGAUACCAACUUCUGUGACCUUGGUCACAUGGCAAGACCUUGAUCUUUCUCUUCAGGCACUGUAUACACAAGUAUCAGCAGAAGAGUGUUUUGCUGCCAGCUCCAGCCUCUAGCAUCCCUCUAGGAACAUUAACAUAGCAGCGAGCUGGAAAAGAUACACACAAAGCACACUCCUUAAGAUGUAAACAAACAUUUAAAAGAGCCCAUACUGGCUCCAGCUUGGGUAGCAGCAACCAAUGGGAAGGCAGGAGAUAAAGGUGUGUCAGAUAUAAAGAUGUAAAGUCUUCCCUGAAAGGUGAC